rnacentral:rRNA from 1 species
UACGGAGGGUCCGAGCGUUAUCCGGAAUCAUUGGGUUUAAAGGGUCCGUAGGCGGGCCUAUAAGUCAGAGGUGAAAGUUUGUGGCUCAACCAUAAAAUUGCCUUUGAUACUGUAGGUCUUGAGUUAUAGUGGAGUUGCCGGAACAUGUGGUGUAGCGGUGAAAUGCAUAGAUAUCACAUAGAACACCGAUCGCGAAGGCAGGUGACUAACUAUAUACUGACGCUGAUGGACGAAAGCGUGGGGAGCGAACGGGAUUAGAUACCCCGGUAGUCCACGCCGUAAACGAUGGAUACUAGCUGUCGGGACUUCGGUCUCGGCGGCCAAGCGAAAGUGAUAAGUAUCCCACCUGGGGAGUACGUUCGCAAGAAUGAAACUCAAAGGAAUUGACGGGGGCCCGCACAAGCGGUGGAGCAUGUGGUUUAAUUCGAUGAUACGCGAGGAACCUUACCAGGGCUUAAAUGUAAGUUGCAUGGGGUAGAGAUACCCCUUUCUUCGGACCACUUACAAGGUGCUGCAUGGUU